CGCAGGCUGAGUCCCCCAGCGGCGCGGUCGCGGGCCGGGAGCCAUCUUUCCCUGUACAUCUCUGUGCCUUGUGGCGCUGCUCUUCUCCUCUGUCGUUGGCCGCCAAGGUCCCGUGCCCUUGCCCCAUGCCCUCGUGUGCUCUGGGAGACCGCGAGGUCCCAGUCCCGCAGGGGACAGAAUGACCUUCUGGCCGGCGGAGUCCCGGGAAUUGUUUCCCGCAGACAGCUCUGGCUCCUCUCCAUCCCGGCGAACAGAGCGAGCACAGACUGCGGCAAGGGGACUUGAGGAAAAAGCCGAGCUAGGAAGACGUGUCCCGGCCUCCAAGAGGGCCUUCCCAGCCAGCAGGCUCGAUUCCGUCCGGGGCGUGACCCUUCUAUCCAGCCGACCUCAGCUAGGAUUCGGAGAGGAAGAGGGAAAUCAAAAAAGACUGGAUCUCGCAA
rnacentral:lncRNA from 1 species